UUGGAGGGCAAGUCUGGUGCCGGCAGCCGCGGUAAUUCCAGCUCCAAUAGCGUAUAUUAAAGUUGUUGCAGUUAAAAAGCUCGUAGUUGAAUUUCGGGAUUAGCAGGUCGGUCGUGCCACUGGUACGUACUGGUCUUGCUGAUUCCUCCCUCUUGACGAGCCGUAAUGCCAUUAAUUUGGUGUUGCGGGGAAUCAGGACUGUUACUUUGAAAAAAUUAGAGUGUUUAAAGCAGGCAUGCGCUUGAAUACAUUAGCAUGGAAUAAUGAAAUAGGACGUUCGAUCUUAUUUUGUUGGUUUCUAGGAUUGACGUAAUGAUUAAUAGGGAUAGUUGGAGGCAUUAGUAUUCAAUUGUCAGAGGUGAAAUUCUUGGAUUUAUUGAAGACUAACUACUGCGAAAGCAUUUGCCAAGGAUGUUUUCAUUAAUCAAGAACGAAAGUUAGGGGAUCGAAGACGAUCAGAUACCGUCGUAGUCUUAACUAUAAACUAUGCCGACUAGGGAUCGGAUGAUGUUAAUUUUUUAAUGACUCAUUCGGCGCCUUACGGGAAAC
rnacentral:rRNA from 1 species